rnacentral:lncRNA from 1 species
CCUUAAUAAUCAGAAUGCUUUUCUAUAUGAAAGGAAACAUGAGUCUUUUUCCCACCUUAUUCUUAGAAAUUGGCUAACAUUAUUUUUACAUACCCUUAGUUUUUUAUGUUGAUUCAAAGAAAACUCAACUGAUUUAUUUGUAGGGACGAAACUUCUGUCAUUUAGCAGUCAACAAAUUUUUCCAAGUGCAGCUGCAUGGGCUGGCGUAGUCAAAACGGACAGCGACAUGGUAUUAUACAACAACCAAUCGCAUAUAAAUUGCAUGGACAAUCAAAACUCGUUCCCUGAUUCUUCAGCUUGUAGCUACAAAGGAGGAAAUCAAUUCCAGUUCAUGCAAGGCAGUGACCAUAGUCUCCCUGAAGCUUCAAUCUGCCAGCCACUUGUUGAUCAUGCCAAUUCUGCAGCAGCAGCAGUUUCUAGCAGCGGACAAAAGAUCUUCUCCAGUGGAUUGAACGAAAUUGUGGACUCUGAUCGUGCUCUCUCUCUUCUGUCAUCAGCACCCGCUGUAACUAGGGAGAUUGGUUUUAGUCACAUGGUGCAGCAGCCUGCUUCUAUCCCUCGGCCCCAGUCACAAUCCGUCGUUCAUAGCCUACACUAUGGUGGUCUAAGCCAGUACCCUUUUGCUCAAGAUUUCAAUAGCCAACCUCAAGAUUCUGCUGCAGAUUCACAUGUUAGCAACAACAGCUCUCUGCAUUUCCAUGAUAUGUUACAAAAUGGACCAGAUGGAUCAUCUACAAGUGCUGGCUGUGAGCAAACACUAGCCUUUAUGUGGGACUAAAAAAACUUUCAGGAUAUCUAAAUUUGGUCUCUGUUAACAUCAAGAAAAUUCCUUCCAAGCAAAUGUUAUUCCCAUUAAGAUUCUAUCCCCCGGCCCCAGUCACAAUCCGUCGCUCAUAGCCUACACUAUGGUGGUCUAAGCCAGUACCCUUUUGCUCAAGAUUUCAAUAGCCAACCUCAAGAUUCUGCUGCAGAUUCACAUGUUAGCAACAACAGCUCUCUGCAUUUCCAUGAUAUGUUACAAAAUGGACCAGAUGGAUCAUCUACAAGUGCUGGCUGUGAGCAAACACUAGCCUUUAUGUGGGACUAAAAAAACUUUCAGGAUAUCUAAAUUUGGUCUCUGUUAACAUCAAGAAAAUUCCUUCCAAGCAAAUGUUAUUCCCAUUAAGAAUGUUUAGCUUCUAAUUAGCGACAAUUUCUUCUCUAAAAGGGUCGAAUGUCAGUAAAAUCCUAUCAUGAAGUCAUUUGUGACAUAGGUUGACUUUCGUGUGAAAUAUGAGUUGGCCAUUCUAUAUUCCCUUCAUUAUAUUUC